AACGAACGCUGGCGGCAGGCCUAACACAUGCAAGUCGAGCGAACCCUUCGGGGUUAGCGGCGGACGGGUUAGUAACGCGUGGGAAUAUACCCUUUGGUACGGAAUAGCCUCGGGAAACUGAGAGUAAUACCGUAUGUGCCCUUCGGGGGAAAGAUUUAUCGCCAAAGGAUUAGCCCGCGUUGGAUUAGGUAGUUGGUGGGGUAAUGGCCUACCAAGCCUACGAUCCAUAGCUGGUUUGAGAGGAUGAUCAGCAACACUGGGACUGAGACACGGCCCAGACUCCUACGGGAGGCAGCAGUGGGGAAUCUUAGACAAUGGGGGAAACCCUGAUCUAGCCAUGCCGCGUGGACGAUGAAGGCCUUAGGGUUGUAAAGUCCUUUCAGAUGGGAAGAUAAUGACGGUAC
rnacentral:rRNA from 1 species